GCCACUGAGAGGAGGAGUGUUUUGCAAAAGUUUGUGUGAAAACAGGAAACUUUUGCCACUUCCAUGUCCUUAUUCUUGCUCUGAAACAUCGGACUGGAACAACUGCAAGACGUCUGGACCAAAAGGCCAAAAAUGGAGGUUCCAGCCAUCAGUCUGAAGGCCAUUGUCCUGGUCCACUGGCUGCUCACAGUGUGGGGCUGCAUGGCAUGGCUGCCCUGGUCCUUUGCCUGGGGGAACUUCAGCAUCUUAGCCGUCGGAGUGUGGGCCAUCGCUCAGAGAGACUCCAUCGACGCCGUGGUCAUGUUCCUGAUCGGGUUAGCCAUCACAAUACUGACCGAUGUCAUUCAUUUCGGGGUCUUUUACCCCCUACAUGAGCUGGCCACGGAGGAGAGAGACUUGGUCCGCUUCAGCGUGGCCAUGGCCAUCCUCAGCCUGCUGCUCAAACCUGCGUCCUGCUUCUUUGUCUACCAAAUGUACCGUGAGCGUGGGGGCGAUUACAACGUCAACUUUGACUUAGAGACGUCUGUGGACAGUCGCUGUACUACGGACAGUGCGGACAGUGCGUUCAUUGGCCGCCGCUAUUGACUCCCUACCUCUUCCCCUUUUUCACCACUUCACUCCCUCAUCAUCCUCUCCUACCCUCCCCCAACCCACCCAGAAAGUAUUCCAACUGUAACACGAAACAGAGAUGCCUAUCAGUCAAUCGACCAGCAGGGGGCGUCCUCAUCUACAGCGAACCCAUUCAACCAAGCUCAGGACAGCAAACAGCCCAGAGAGUACUGAAAGGACCCGAAACACUGGAGACCAUAAGAUGCUGUGAGAGUGAGAUGAGAGUGGAACGUCGUGACCAAAAGUCUAUUACAGGCGCGAAAAAAAGCUGUUGUCCCUCCAAUCCGAUGCUGUAGCUACUGACUUUUAGUUGUUUUUAUGUUUGUACAGCGACAUCUGUGGUACUAAGCGAUGCACCCGUCUGAGCUGUGACUGUUUUUGUUCACGAUACUGUCAAAAUAAAAUACUG